rnacentral:lncRNA from 1 species
UGCAAUUACUCAUCUUUAUCCUUUCUUUUGGAUAAGAUGUUUGACGUUGUUAUAAAAGGAGGAGAAGAGUGGGGCGUGCAAGAAGAAAAUUUUUGAAGAAAAAUUUUGGAGUGUGAGAAGUCUUGUGUGUGAGAAGGAAGUCCAUAUCCUUCCAAGAGAAAAAGAAAGAAAAGAAAGAAAAGUGGGUGCAAGAUUUUUGGUGAGUUCCCUAGAGUUUUAGCCUGGG